rnacentral:tRNA from 1 species
GGGGAUUUAGCUCAGUGGUAGAGCGCUUGCCUAGCAAGCGCAAGGCCCUGGGUUCGAUCCCCAGCUCCCCCC